AGAAUCAACGCUGGCGGCGUGCCUCAGACAUGCAAGUCGAACGCGAAAGUUCCCUUCGGGGGCGAGUAGAGUGGCGCACGGGUGAGUAACACGUAGGUAAUCUACCUUUGGGUGGGGAAUAACUCAGGGAAACUUGAGCUAAUACCGCAUAAUGCAGCGGCUCGACAUCGAGACAGUUGUUAAAGCGGGGGAUCGCAAGACCUCGCGCCUAAAGAGGAGCCUGCGGCGGAUUAGCUAGUUGGUGAGGUAAUGGCUCACCAAGGCAUCGAUCCGUA
rnacentral:rRNA from 1 species